AUUUGCUUGCUCACUGAUGGCUAUCCUGAAGACUCUUCCCCUAAGAAUUAUUGGAAUUUCAAGUCUGGUGGAAGUCAUGGAACUGGAAGUCACAAGGAACUGGGGUUAUUAUGAUGACAGAACUCUCAGUACUUUUGGG